UCGAGAAUCUUCGGCAAUGGGCGAAAGCCUGACCGAGCGACGCCGCGUGUGGGAUGAAGGCCCUUGGGUUGUAAACCACUGUCAGAGGGGAUGAAGUGCACGAGAGCUAUCUCUUGUGUUUGACAUAGCCUCAGAGGAAGCACGGGCUAAGUUCGUGCCAGCAGCCGCGGUAAGACGAACUGUGCAAACGUUAUUCGGAAUCACUGGGCUUAAAGGGUGCGUAGGCGGUCUUGUAAGUAGGGUGUGAAAG
rnacentral:rRNA from 1 species